GUUAAUGAACCGCUGCGCUCAAGUUAAAGUGGACACGUGUCAAUUCCUCGACGCAUGACUUAUCUACUUGAAAUCUGACGUGGCGCAACUGGAGGGAAGGAUACCUUCUUUUAUAAUAAUAGAUAGAUAGAUUUCACCGUUUAUAGACUUUGGUAACUUUUGAAAAUCUUCGGUAAAAAUUUUAGUAACGGUGAUUUACAAAACUUAUUUUCUGUUUAAGAAAAAAGAGCAUAAUUUGUGUUAUUCAAAAAACAAAAAUUUAGACAUUGUAAAAAGUUGUCUAAAUUAUCAUUUCAAUAAAAAAAAUAUUUUGGACAUAUAUAUUAUGCCAGUUAAAAAUGGGUGGAUGUACUAAUUUAAUGUAGCUAUAUUUGUAUUUGUAACAUUCUAAGUUAUGAUAUAUAGAAAAUGAUUAAAAGAAUUGAUUUGACUACCUAUAUAACCAAAGUUAGUUUACCUUUUCCAUCACACAUCCGUUUAAAACUUCAGAGUUAAGCGUAUUUAGGCUGGAGUAGUGAGAGAAUGGGUGACCUAUCGGAAAGUGAUUCGCGAUACCGUGCGAGUGAGACCAAAGCACAUGGAAAUGUCAGGUGGUGAUUGCAGGGUUAAUUAAACAAGAUUUUUGGGUCUUGAAAAUAUUAACGCACCGUCUGUUGGAACGAAAUGGAGCCCACAGACCGAGUGAGUGGGCAUGGGUGGUCCGUUAGCUGUGGGCGGUCGGGGGAUUAUAGUAUUUCUAUUAAAUUAUUCACCAGAUCAAGUAUAUAUCAGUCAAUAAAAUAAAUUAUUUUUUUGUUUGACAUGAACCUAUUGAAGUUCAUGUAUAUAUCAAUAUCCAACAUGGAAUUAAAGAUUAAAGACAUCUGUAUCGAGAGUUUUCAAAAGAAUAUGAAAACCUUUCACAUGGAUUUCUCAUUUUUCUUAGAUAUUCUAAUUGAUUAUUCAUAUAAUUUGUGAAUAUUUUUUGUAAAGAAACCGAUCGCAUAAGAACUUUCACAGUUUAGGUUGGGGAAAACAUGGGGGCGAGGCGCAGCCGAAUGUUACGGUCGUGUUCCCCUGACUUUGUGUGAACCUGUGAGGAAAAUACUUCGACGAUAGCAUGAUAUAAUAUAAGCAGAAAUGAGACAAACACUUUUAAUGUUAGAAAACCUCCUCGAUGUGAGAAGGAAAAACCAACGGGACCGUAGUCCACUCAAAAAUCCACUAUAUAAAUGAGUAUGAGUACAGCCACGUCCUCCUUGUUCAACACCCUGAACAGAACAGAGAUUCUAGCUACAAAGAGCUAUCUCCAACACAGCAACAACAACAACAAGAGAGCACCACAAAGAGCUUCAAAAGCAGGCAGCUACAAGACGACCUCAGCUCACUAGGAUUCCCGCAACCAGAGACUAAUCCACCGUACAAAUUCAAGAUGAACAAGUCAACAACACAUCUGCCAAAUUUUAGCUCAGUCAGAAAAGAUCCAACCGUCGGAUUUACCAAACGCUCAAGACAGCACUGCUGAAGAACUGUGACGACAAAGCUUCACUAAAACCCCAAACAACAGAAGAUCCAACCGUUGAAAUCCAAAUCCAUUCGGUUAACCUUUAACCCACUGACUGAAGAAGCUUCCCACAAAAUAUUAGCCCAAACAUGAUCCGUUUGACCCUCCAAAUCUGCCUCGACAAACCCAGACGAAAAUAUGUCUUCUUCUCUCCUUUUCUCUCUUUUGUCUAAUGAGUCUUCUUAAGCACUCUUCUUUCUUGUGUCAACUCUGUGUUCUCUGCUUUCUGCUAACCACACAAAUUAGAUUAAGAGACUUUAUAUAGUGUCUCACUAACCCCCAAGACCCAAUACUAAUCUCAUGGACUAAUACCAAUGGCCCAACUUCCAAGUUUGGUUAUCACCAACCAAACCCAAUGGGUUUCCUCCAUCUAGGAGGAACCCAGCAAACUCCCCCUCCGACUAGGUGGAGAAAAUAUCCAUUCCGGCUAUCCCUCGGUAUACUUCAAGCUUCCCCCUCGGAAAAGACUUUGUCAUCAUAUCAGCUCCAUUAUCAUCCGUAUGAACUUCCUAAGUUCCAUUUCGUUAGAAACAACUACAUCUCGUAUCCAAUGAUACUUCCUCUGAAUGUGUUUUGACUUCGAAUGGAAUGUAGAAUUCUUUCCGAGACAAAUGGUGCUUUAACUAUCACAAAGCAGCACAUAAUUUUCUUGCUUGUAACCGAGUCUCUUCAGAAAAGUUCUUCAUCCACAACAACUCUUUACAAGCUUCAGUUGCAGCAAUGAACUAUGCCUUAGUGGUCGAUAGUGCAACGCACUUUUGCAGCCUUGACUGUCAUGCCACAGCUCCAGCCGCAAACGUUACCAAGUAACCCGAAGUAGACUUGCUAGAAUCAACAUCUCCAGCGAUGUCAGAAUCAGUGUACCUGACAAGCAAAGGCUUCUUACCCCCAAAUGUAAUCUUCAGAUCAGAAGUCCCUCAGAGAUAUCUCAAAAUCUACUUCACAUCAUUCCAAUGUUCUCUUCCCAUAUUGGAGAGAAACCUGCUGACAACUCCAACGGUAUAGGCUAAAUCUGGUCUUGUACAAACCAUGACAUACAUCAAACUACCCACUGCAGAAGCAUAUAGAACCUUCGUCAUAUCCUCCUUCUCCGCAUAUGUCUUUGGACUUUGUUGACGGCUCAUUCUUAAGUGUAGAGCAAGAGACAUUACAAAAAAAGUGGUGAAUUAAAUUACUUAAAUUGUAUCAGAAAAUUAAAUGAUUCUGUUUUAAAUUACUUAUCUACAAAUGAGACAAAUAUAUAUUAUUUAGCAUCAAUUAUAAUAAGUAAUGUCAUUUUAAAUUUAUUUUGCAUCAAUUCAAUAUAAGUGAUAUGCUUUUUAUUCAUUUGUAUCAAUUUAACACAAAUGGUAUUAUUAUAUGUAAAUUAUCAGUUAAAUAAUUGAUACGUUUACUUAUUUUGUUUAACAUCACUUAUAUAUUUGAUACAAAACUUACAUCACUCUAAAAAUGAUACUAAUAAAAAUUAUGUAAUUAUAUAUUAUUCUAACAUCUAUUUAAUAAAAAUGAUGUUAUUUAUCUUAUUUUUAUCAUUUAAAUAUUUGUUAUAAUAAAUUUUUUAAAUAGCUAAAAUUUGAUAAAAAAGGAUUACGAUGUAGUUAAGAUUUUGUAGCUUUAAUAUUUGUUUGUGGCUCUAAUUUAAUUGUACUUUAUUCUUAACAGUUUUUUUCUUAUCCAAAAGCAUAUUCUUUCUUCUAUCGCCACUUCGUCUCUCUCGUGCUUAAACUUAUUUUACAGUUAUAUUGUUAUUAGAUAAAAAUAUUCUACAAACAAUCAAACUUUUUUUUCUCAAUGAGUAAGGAUGAGUGGAUGACGUCCCAUUAGCAAGCCAUUGGUGGCAUGAAGAAUUUUCCCUUAUAUGAGGAUGAUUAUGUUUUCGUUUGCAUGAUUUGAAAGAAAACUAAGGUUUGCUAAUUCAACGAACUUGAUGGAAAAUUUCUAAAAAGAUUAUACUGGAAACAUAUGUCGAGAGAAAGGGUUCUGAUGGUUUGAUUAUGUUGAUUUCAGCAGAAGCGUUAGGUGUUGGAGGAGGAAACUAAUUCUGGUCAGGUGUAAAUGUAUUCUUCGGGAAAAAAUGACUGAUCAUAACUGUCCAGAAGUAUAUGAGAAGAUGGAAGUCUACAAGAAGAAGAAAAAAAGACAAUUUCGGUUGAAGGACUCUCAUUGAAUUUUUUUUUUAAUUGUUGUUCAAUCUUUUUUUUUUUUCCUUUCACUUCUUUGUAUUCACUUUUCAAUAGAAAAAAAAUAUUAAUAUAAAAUAUUUUAAUUUAUU